rnacentral:rRNA from 1 species
AUUGAACGCUGGCGGCAUGCCUUACACAUGCAAGUCGAACGGUAACGCGGGGCAACCUGGCGACGAGUGGCGAACGGGUGAGUAACGCAUCGGAACGUGCCCAAUAGUGGGGGAUAGCCCGGCGAAAGCCGGAUUAAUACCGCAUACGACCUAAGGGUGAAAGCGGGGGAUCGCAAGACCUCGCGCUAUUGGAGCGGCCGAUGUCAGAUUAGGUAGUUGGUGGGGUAAAGGCCUACCAAGCCGACGAUCUGUAGCUGGUCUGAGAGGACGACCAGCCACACUGGGACGGAGACACGGCCCAGACUCCUACGGGAGGCAGCAGUGGGGAAUUUUGGACAAUGGGCGCAAGCCUGAUCCAGCCAUGCCGCGUGCGGGAAGAAGGCCUUCGGGUUGUAAACCGCUUUUGUCAGGGAAGAAAAGGCUCGAACUAAUACUUUGGGCUCAUGACGGUACCUGAAGAAUAAGCACCGGCUAACUACGUGCCAGCCGCCGCCGUAA